rnacentral:rRNA from 1 species
UGCCCUAGUAACGGCGAGUGAAGCGGCAACAGCUCAAAUUUGAAAUCUGGCUCUCGGGCCCGAGUUGUAAUUUGUAGAGGAUGCUUUUGGUGCGGUGCCUUCCAAGUUCCCUGGAACGGGACGCCUUAGAGGGUGAGAGCCCCGUACGGUUGGACACCAAGCCUCUGUAAAGCUCCUUCGACGAGUCGAGUAGUUUGGGAAUGCUGCUCAAAAUGGGAGGUAAAUUUCUUCUAAAGCUAAAUACCGGCCAGAGACCGAUAGCGCACAAGUAGAGUGAUCGAAAGAUGAAAAGUACUUUGAAAAGAGGGUUAAACAGCACGUGAAAUUGUUGAAAGGGAAGCACUUAUGACCAGACUUUCUCCAGGCGGAUCAUCCGGUGUUCUCACCGGUGCACUUCGCCUGGUCAAGGCCAGCAUCGGUUUCUGCGGGGGGACAAAAGCUUCGGGAAUGUGGCUCGCCUCGGCGAGUGUUAUAGCCCGUUGUAUAAUACCCCCGCGGGGACCGAGGUCCGCGCAUUGCAAGGAUGCUGGCGUAAUGGUUAUCAGUGACCCGUCUUGAAACACGGACCAAGGAGUCGAACAUUUAUGCGAGUGUUUGGGUGUUAAACCCUCACGCGUAAUGAAAGUGAACGGAGGUGAGAGCCCUCGGGUGCAUCAUCGACCGAUCCUGAAGUCUUCGGAUGGAUUUGAGUAAGAGCAUAACUGUUCGGACCCGAAAGAUGGUGAACUAUGCGUGGAUAGGGUGAAGCCAGAGGAAACUCUGGUGGAGGCUCGCAGCGGUUCUGACGUGCAAAUCGAUCGUCAAAUCUGCGCAUGGGGGCGAAAGACUAAUCGAA